UACAAGAGUGAAAUAUCAACAAAAAGAUUAUCCAUAUUGAGGUGCUGUACUGGAGGGAUAAGGAAAGAAAAGAAAGUGAUGUUUAUGAUUUGACUGAAAGGGAGAUUAACACAGACAUAAAAGAGGGCUUUCUAUUUAUCAAUGACACAACCAAAUUUGACCACUGUUACGCAGCUUCUUGACCACAUUUUCAGUCAGUGUGGAUUGCAAUGCUAUACUCAACAGGUCAGACAACAAUUAAAAUACAACUUACAGAUACCACAAUUUGAGAAAAAGACUAUAGGAGGUGGAAUAGCUACAUGGCAUGAUCACGGAUUGACCGAUAGAAAAAGAUUUCCAUUGUUUUUAAAUAGAAGGACAACAGCCCUUUGGGUGUAUGUUGCAUUAUAACAGUGUUUUUUUCGGAUUCCUUAUGUUCCACAUAUUAUUUAGUCAACAAUGAUGUCAAAUAUUACCUUACAUGGAACGGAACAUUACCU